rnacentral:rRNA from 1 species
CAAUAGCGUAUAUUAAAGUUGUUGCAGUUAAAAAGCUCGUAGUUGAAUUUUUGCUUGCCGCCGAUGUCGGAACUUCCGUACGUUCGGCGGCGUGCAUCCUUGGGUGGAACCUGUGUGGCAUUAGGUUGUCGUGCAGGGGAUGCUCAUCGUUUACUGUGAAAAAAUUAGAGUGUUCAAAGCAGGCUUACGCCGUUGAAUAUAUUAGCAUGGAAUAAUAAGAUAGGACCUUGGUACUAUUUUGUUGGUUUGCGCACCGAGGUAAUGAUUAACAGGGACAGUUGGGGGUAUUCGUAUUCCAUUGUCAGAGGUGAAAUUCUUGGAUUUCUGGAAGACGAACUACUGCGAAAGCAUUUACCAAGGAUGUUCUCAUUAA